UGUUUCCCAAUGUGUGUCGUCAAGUGGAUGUGAAAGGAACUGGAGCGCUUGGGCCUUGGUCCACACGAAACAAAGGAAUCGUCUAUUAUAUGGCAAGCUGCACAAGUUUGUAUCCGUUCGCCACAACUUGAAGAUACGUGCUGAAGAAGACAAGGACCGGGUGAGAGAGAAUGAUAAAUAUAAGGAGGUUGAUCCAUGUGCAAUGAUGAUGAAUACAACCAUGUUUGAUGAGGCUAAUCCAAUGAUGGAGUGGUUGAAUGAGGAUGAGGAACAUGUAAUCUUGGAUGGAUCUGAUGCUGCUAGCGCCGUGUUCGAGGAAAUACGUCGCCUUAACUCAAGCAAGAAAUCCUCUCAUCUUGGAAGGAAGGGCAAUGGAACGAAAAGGAAGAGAGUAUUGGAAGAAGAUGAGGAUGACUACAUUGAUUGUGAUGAUGAUGAAGAAGAAGAUGAGUACAUAGACAUUGAUGAUGAGGAUGAAUGCGGAGAUGAUAGCGCAAGUGAAGCUGAUGGAGAAGAUUCAACUACCCGAGUUGAAAAAGAUCAACCAAGCCAAGAUGGAAACGAGGUUGAGGAAAGAAAUGAUGGAGGUUUGCUGAACUGCCGUAGGUCUCGACGAGGAAAGCAAAGCACGAAGCUGAAGGACUUGACGAGCCUUUACAAUUGACAGAAGCAUUUGGAGCAUCGUAUGUGGUCGCAAGGUUGCUGUCCAGUGAAGAAAUGACACAAGAAUGGAAGAAGGAAGCUUCUGGUUGCAUUUUGUGGUGUAUGAGAACUCUGAAUGUUAUUUUGUGGGAUGCAUGAAAUGUUGUCCAGGACUAGUUGUGGACAAUUCAUUUGGAUGGAUGUUCUUUUGCUGUGAUCUUGGAUGUAGUUAAACUAUGCUACGGAUUGGCCUGGAUGUAGAACCUAAGUUAUGAUUGGUAGACUAUAAUCUUUA